rnacentral:rRNA from 1 species
ACUCCUACGGGAGGCAGCAGUGGGGAAUAUUGCACAAUGGGCGCAAGCCUGAUGCAGCAACGCCGCGUGAGGGACGACGGCCUUCGGGUUGUAAACCUCUUUUAGUAGGGAAGAAGCGAAAGUGACGGUACCUGCAGAAAAAGCACCGGCUAACUACGUGCCAGCAGCCGCGGUAAUACGUAGGGUGCAAGCGUUAUCCGGAAUUAUUGGGCGUAAAGAGCUCGUAGGCGGUUUGUCGCGUCUGCUGUGAAAACUGGAGGCUCAACCUCCAGCCUGCAGUGGGUACGGGCAGACUAGAGUGCGGUAGGGGAGAUUGGAAUUCCUGGUGUAGCGGUGGAAUGCGCAGAUAUCAGGAGGAACACCGAUGGCGAAGGCAGAUCUCUGGGCCGUAACUGACGCUGAGGAGCGAAAGCAUGGGGAGCGAACAGGAUUAGAUACCCUGGUAGUCCAUGCCGUAAACGUUGGGAACUAGAUGUAGGGACCAUUCCACGGUUUCUGUGUCGCAGCUUACGCAUUAAGUUCCCCGCCUGGGGAGUACGGCCGCAAGGCUAAAACUCAAAGGAAUUGACGGGGGCCCGCACAAGCGGCGGAGCAUGCGGAUUAAUUCGAUGCAACGCGAAGAACCUUACCAAGGCUUGACAUAUACCGGAAAAGUGCAAAAAUGUACUCCCCGCAAGGUCGGUAUACAGGUGGUGCAUGGUUGUCGUCAGCUCGUGUCGUGAGAUGUUGGGUUAAGUCCCGCAACGAGCGCAACCCUCGUUCUAUGUUGCCAGCACGUAAUGGUGGGAACUCAUAGGAGACUGCCGGGGUCAACUCGGA